rnacentral:tRNA from 2 species
GCAGAUGUGGUGGAAUUGGUAGACACGCCGUCUUGAGGGGGCGGUGGCGCAAGCCGUGUCGGUUCGAGUCCGACCAUCUGCA